AAACAGGGGAGCUUGUUGUGACAGGCUGAGAGGAAGGAACACACCUUCGACCCUAUAACCUGAUGUGGAUAAUGCCACCGUAGGGAGUAAUGAUUAC
rnacentral:ncRNA from 1 species